GUAGGUUUUUUUUUUUCUUUUGGAGACGUUUCACAUCUCAUCCAAGAGGCUUCUUCAGUUCUGACUGACCACUGGGAAAUUCUGGUAUUUAGUCUUCAGGCUGCUGUAACAAGGGUCAUUGCAGAAAGGGGGAUUGGAGGUGUUAGAUCUCAGUUAGCCUCCCCUAGCUCAACCCUGAGCCCCUUCCCUAGCCUUUCCCAUAGCCCCUCCCCUAGCUAGUCGCUUAGCCACUCCCCCAACUUGUCACUUAGCCCCUCCCCCUCACCCAGGUGUAGGAUAUAAGGCCUCCAAAUGGCUCAGUUCUCUCUUUGACUGCUUCUUGGUGUGGUUCUCUGUGUUGGUUCUGGUAGGUCAUGUGCUGGUUUCUCUGUUUUGUCCUGUUCUUUUCUUUCUUAGAUUUGCCCCGUUCCCUCCAUUUUCUGUGUGUUUCAACCAGCUUUUGUUUGGCCUAAUUAACUUCUUUGGUUAGGGUUAAGCUAAAGCUAACCCUGUUUUCAUUCCUAUCUUUGUGUUUGUUUGUUGAUUUGUGGUGUUGUAAAUUAUUAACUGGGUUGUUGGUUUUGUUAAUUUUGUGCUCUUUUUUGUGUUCCUAUUUUUUUUUAUUCUGGCCUGGGGGUUGUCAAGUGGCAGGCUAGGGCCUGUGGUUGGGACCCCACUCCUAACCCUAAUGCCCUACAGGCCUGAGCUGAAGCCUAUUAGCUGUUAGCUGCUUUGGUUUUGGUCAAAUUCUUUUAUCUAGUGAAGUAGGCCACUCAGCACCUCAUGUGGAAGAGCUGGCUCAGGUGCAUCUAGUUAGUGGUGUGCUGAUGGCAGUGCUGCCCCUACAGGCCUGAGCUAAAGCCUGUUAGCGGCUAUAGUUUUGUUUGUCUGCUUUUAGUUGGGUCAUUGAAGUGACCCCGUAUUUUUUUAGGUUUUGGUCAAAUGCUUCCAUCUAGUGGACAAAUUUUAACCCGUAUUCAAGCAGCCUGAACAGAUGAUUUCAAUAAAGUCACGUUUUACUUUCGGCUACUUUUAUAUUUUAAUUCUAUUUCAUGAAAGUCAUAGUAAAGUAAGUCCUUAUUGUGAUUUUAGACAUCCCAGAAUAAGAUUCUAUUUUUAGUUCUUGGUGUAGUGAAGAUUGUACAUAGAUCUGUUAGUCUGUGUAGGUUCUCAGUCCAAUUGGCUUCAAAUUCGUUAUACCCCUGUGUUACAAUGACAAAGGCUAUUCUAUUCUAUUCAUCCAGGUAAUUUAAUACAAAAAAUAGUUACAUCGAAAAGCAACUGGACAAAGUAGGGUUUUUUUUUUCUUUUGGAGACGUUUCACAUCUCAUCCAAGAGGCUUCUUCAGUUCUGACUGACCACUGGGAAAUUCUGGUAUUUAGUCUUCAGGCUGCUGUAACAAGGGUCAUUGCAGAAAGGGGGAUUGGAGGUGUUAGAUCUCAGUUAGCCUCCCCUAGCUCAACCCUGAGCCCCUUCCCUAGCCUUUCCCAUAGCCCCUCCCCUAGCUAGUCGCUUAGCCACUCCCCCAACUUGUCACUUAGCCCCUCCCCCUCACCCAGGUGUAGGAUAUAAGGCCUCCAAAUGGCUCAGUUCUCUCUUUGACUGCUUCUUGGUGUGGUUCUCUGUGUUGGUUCUGAUUCUAUCCUGCCUGUGGCCUCUACCUUGUUCUCAAGUUAUUCUGGAGGUUGGACGUUCUGGAUGUCUUCCUCCAGCAAUUCUUUCUCUAUGAUUUGAGACAACUUGAAGUGGGACCUAUCUGCAGUAGUGUACCUGGAGAUGACCAGUGUUUGGACCAUCACCACUCUACACCUUCAGUCCAGGGUGGACCAGGGUUUGAUUUUGUACUUUUAGUUCUUUAUGGUUUGGUCUAAGAGGUUUAGGAGUGUUGACUGAAAUCAACCAUUUGAUUGUUAAUACCUUCUCCCCCCUUCACUCCCAUUGUCAUAAGUAUGCUUUCUAUCAAUUAGGGUUUAAACCAAAAAGAGUCAUAACCUUGAGGUUCAACUGUCUGUCCAGUUUAGAGUAACCUUACGGUGUCAACAACAUUUCUAUGCUGGACAGGUGGUAACGUACAAGUUCAACUCAUUAUGCUUUACACCUUAAGUUGUUAUUCUCCAGGUCCUCUUGGAGAAUAUUUGUAUUGCUCUAUGUCUCCCUAACUCCACCCCUUCCUUCCAGAAACAGACGCCAACAGUCUAGAUAUUCUGAGGAUUUCUUCCUGUUUUUGACUGAUGGUUCUUAUGUUAAUAGAUUUUAUUACAUUUUAUCUUUUGGUAUUUUACAUAAAUUGACUAGUAAUUGGGUUUUUUUUUUUUUUUCAUUUGUGUG